AUGCCCCUUAUGAUUUGGGCUACACACGUGCUACAAUGGACAAUACAAAGGGCAGCGAAACCGUGAGGUCAAGCAAAUCCCAUAAAGUUGUUCUCAGUUCGGAUUGUAGUCUGCAACUCGACUACAUGAAGCUGGAAUCGCUAGUAAUCGUAGAUCAGCAUGCUACGGUGAAUACGUUCCCGGGUCUUGUACACACCGCCCGUCACACCACGAGAGUUUGUAACACCCGAAGCCGGUGGAGUAACCUUUUAGGAGCUAGCCGUCGAAGGUGGGACAAAUGAUUGGGGUGAAGUCGUAACAAGGUAGCCGUAUCGGAAGGUGCGGCUGGAUCACCUCCUUU
rnacentral:rRNA from 1 species